GAUGAAGAACGCAGCGAAAUGCGAUAAGUAAUGCGAAUUGCAGAAUUCAGUGAGUCAUCGAAUCUUUGAACGCACAUUGCGCCCUGUGGUAUUCCGCAGGGCAUGCCUGUUCGAGCGUCAUUACAACCCUCAAGCUCUGCUUGGUGUUGGGCCCCGCCGCCCCGGCGGGCCCUAAAGUCAGUGGCGGUGCCGUCCGGCUCCGAGCGUAGUAAUUUUUCUCGCUUUGGAGGCCCGGGCGCGUGCUCGCCAUCAACCCCCAAUUUUUUUCAGGUUGACCUCGGAUCAGGUAGGGAUACCCGCUGAACUUAAGCAUAUCAAUAAGCGGAGGA
rnacentral:misc_RNA from 1 species